CCCGACAUGCCUCCAGUGCCUGUGAUGACGAGCUGGAUGAAGGAGUCAAGACCAUCGUUUCCACAGUCAUACGCCGUGCUGCAGCCAUGAGCCAGGGAGCCCCAAGCAAGGCACCAAGUACUCCCUCGGCCACAGGACCCAGCGUGCCUCCUCCCACAGCAGAGCCUGCAGACUCUACAUCCUCAGCAUCUGCCUUGGCUGGAGCACUGGGGGACCUGGCACACACGGGGAGCACAGGGAGAGCAACGAGAUCAGCCGGGGUCCAGACAGACCUGGAGAGGAGGCGGACCACUGCUCUGCCAGGACCUGAUUCCGGGAUAUGCGCAGGAGCAAGGGCUUCCAGCAGAGACCCUGCAGCAGCUAGCCCAGGCCAGGGUAAGAAGAAAAAACAACAGAGAGAGAAACACAUCAAACCCAGGCAGGGGACAGGAAACGAGGGGACAAGCCAAGGCUGGGGCAAGAAAGAGAGCAGUCCCGGGGGAUGCGAUGAAGAGGAGGAGAUCGUCAUCAUCAACUCCUGGAUCAACCCCAGGUUCGCCAGCCUCUUCACAGAGGCACAGGACGUUCCCCAGGAAGAGGGCAGCGCAGCCAGCAGUGUGGACAGGGAGGCAGCACAAGAAGCAAAACACUCAGCAAGCGCCUCUCCUGGCUCGCUGCAAACCAUGGACACUGUCCCAUCAGCUGCUCCCCAGGAAGAAAUUCCUGGGGAAGAGAGGCACAGCACGCCUCUCACUUCAACAACAGCAGCACAGAGCAGGCCAGCAAGUCCUCCAGCAGCCCCUGCUCUGGAAGAUGAGGGACACAGGACGCCUCCCCUGACACGUGGGGCUCCACAGUCAAAACCAGCAGCCUCUCCAAGCCCCAGUGAGCACAGCACUGCAGUGACGGUUGAGAGCCAGGGACGUGCCCGACAUGCCUCCAGUGCCUGUGAUGACGAGCUGGAUGAAGGAGUCAAGACCAUCGUUUCCACAGUCAUACGCCGUGCUGCAGCCAUGAGCCAGGGAGCCCCAAGCAAGGCACCAAGUACUCCCUCGGCCACAGGACCCAGCGUGCCUCCUCCCACAGCAGAGCCUGCAGACUCUACAUCCUCAGCAUCUGCCUUGGCUGGAGCACUGGGGGACCUGGCACACACGGGGAGCACAGGGAGAGCAACGAGAUCAGCCGGGGUCCAGACAGACCUGGAGAGGAGGCGGACCACUGCUCUGCCAGGACCUGAUUCCGGGAUAUGCGCAGGAGCAAGGGCUUCCAGCAGAGACCCUGCAGCAGCUAGCCCAGGCCAGGGUAAGAAGAAAAAACAACAGAGAGAGAAACACAUCAAACCCAGGCAGGGGACAGGAAACGAGGGGACAAGCCAAGGCUGGGGCAAGAAAGAGAGCAGUCCCGGGGGAUGCGAUGAAGAGGAGGAGAUCGUCAUCAUCAACUCCUGGAUCAACCCCAGGUUCGCCAGCCUCUUCACAGAGGCACAGGACGUUCCCCAGGAAGAGGGCAGCGCAGCCAGCAGUGUGGACAGGGAGGCAGCACAAGAAGCAAAACACUCAGCAAGCGCCUCUCCUGGCUCGCUGCAAACCAUGGACACUGUCCCAUCAGCUGCUCCCCAGGAAGAAAUUCCUGGGGAAGAGAGGCACAGCACGCCUCUCACUUCAACAACAGCAGCACAGAGCAGGCCAGCAAGUCCUCCAGCAGCCCCUGCUCUGGAAGAUGAGGGACACAGGACGCCUCCCCUGACACGUGGGGCUCCACAGUCAAAACCAGCAGCCUCUCCAAGCCCCAG
rnacentral:lncRNA from 1 species